UACGUAGGGUGCAAGCGUUGUCCGGAAUCACUGGGCGUAAAGAGUUUGUAGGCGGCCUUAUAAGUCAGAUGUGAAAGGCAUUGGCUCAACCAAUGUAAGCAUUUGAAACUGUAGGGCUUGAGUGUUGGAGAGGAGAGUGGAAUUCCUAGUGUAGCGGUGAAAUGCGUAGAUAUUAGGAGGAACACCAGUGGCGAAGGCGACUCUCUGGACAAUUACUGACGCUGAGAAACGAAAGCGUGGGGAGCGAACAGGAUUAGAUACCCUGGUAGUCCACGCCGUAAACGAUGAGUACUAGGUGUUGGGGUCGACAGGCUUUAGUGCCGCAGCUAACGCAUUAAGUACUCCGCCUGGGGAGUACGGUCGCAAGACUGAA
rnacentral:rRNA from 1 species